rnacentral:rRNA from 1 species
AACGUAGGAGGCAAGCGUUAUCCGGAGUUACUGGGCGUAAAGAGUGCGUAGGCGGACCUGUAAGUGGGUGUGAAAGCCCCGGGCUCAACCUGGGAAUUGCAUUCGAGACUGAAUAGCUAGGGUACGGUAGAGGGAAGCGGAAUUUCCGGUGUAGCGGUGAAAUGCGUAGAUAUCGGAAGGAACAUCAGUGGCGAAAGCGGCUUCCUGGACCAGUACCGACGUUCAGGCACGAAAGCGUGGGGAGCAAACAGG